rnacentral:lncRNA from 1 species
UGAGGACUGAAGUUUUGCAUUUUAUGUAUUCAAUCCUGUAUUCAUUCAACAAGUGUUUUCUUUGUUUGUUUGUUUGUUUUGUUUUGUUUUGUUGUUUUUCUUUGAGACAGAGUCUCGCUCUGUCACCCAGGCUGGAGAGCAGUGGCGCAAUCUCGGCUCACUGCAAGCUCCGCCUCCGGGGUUCACGCCAUUCUCCUGCCUCAGCCUCCCGAGUAGCUGGGACUACAGGCGCCCGCCACCACACCCGGCUAAUUUUUUUUAUAUUUUUAGUAGAGACGGGGUUUCACCUUGUUAGCCAGAAUGGUCUCGAUCUCCUGAUCUCGUGAUCCACCCACCUCAGCCUCCCAAAGUGCUGGGAUUACAGGCGUGAGCCACCGCGCCCCGCCUCAUUCAACAAGUGUUUAUGGUGCAAAUGACUGAGAUGAUGGCCUCCAACAAGGUGCUCACCUUUCCAAGAGUGUCAGACACAUUAUGGAAAAUAUUUUGUUUUGGUUUUCUUACAUAUUGGAAUCCCCAAGAGUCACUGAGAGGGGAAUACGAUGGUGGUAAGCAGCUUUGGGAUCCAUUUGGUUAAGGUUUGCAGCCUAAAAGUAAACCACUUUCUAUUUAAGGUGGUAGAGAAGUUCAUGUGUGAACAUCUGUGUGUCCACAGAGUUAUCUGUCUCUGAGAUUUCAAUAUUUUUCUGUUAGUUAUCAUUUUGUUAGAGGGAGGGGAGAAAAGAUCCUAGAGCUUAGAAGUCCAUUGUUUCUCCAUCUAAACAGACACGUAGAAAUCAGUUUUUGUUAUGUUUUUGGGGAAAAAAAAUUACCGUGAAGAUACUGUAAAUGUCAUCCCCCUCCAGGACUUGCUUCGGUGUGGAAGUGAUUCCGCUGUGAGUUGUGUCUUUUGCGUUGUUGCACUCUUCAUCAUAUUCAUCCGCAGGACCUCCAGCUCUAAAGGGUGUGAAGAGGAUACUGACCCACCAGAAAGAGACCCCACUGCUAGAACGAAUAAGAUGUGCUGAAAGCCGGAGCAUAACUUGGCCAUUCCCAAGAUUUAACAACAAACUAACUACCCAUCAUUAACAGUAAAGAAAGAAAACAAUCAGUAAGAGAUUAUAUAGACCUAAGAGAUGUUACAGACCGAAGAAGAACCUAUGGUGAGUGGCGUUUUAGAGUGUGGGUACUGCAUCC